rnacentral:rRNA from 1 species
UACGUAGGUGGCAAGCGUUGUCCGGAUUCACUGGGUUUAAAGGGUGCGUAGGCGGGCAGGUAAGUCAGUGGUGAAAUCUCCGAGCUUAACUCGGAAACUGCCAUUGAUACUAUUUGUCUUGAAUAUUGUGGAGGUAAGCGGAAUAUGUCAUGUAGCGGUGAAACGCUUAGAUAUGACAUAGAACACCAAUUGCGAAGGCAGCUUACUACACAAUGAUUGACGCUGAGGCACGAAAGCGUGGGGAUCAAACAGG